UGUCUAAGGCAUGCAAGUCGAAGGAUCGGCCCCGCAAGGGGCAUGGACUGGCAAACGGGAGCGUAACACAUUGGUAACUCACUCCAGAGACGGGGAUAGCCCACCGAAAGGUGGAUUAAUACCCGAUGGUCAUGGGGGGUCAUAAGACAUUCCCAUGUAAAUCUUUUUUGGCUCUGGAAGAGGCCUAUGUCCUAUCAGCUAGUUGGUGAGGUAAAAGCUCACCAAGGCUAUGACGGGUACCGGGCGUGAGAGCGUGACCCGGCUCACUGGGACUGAGACACUGCCCAGACUCCUACGGGAGGCUGCAGUCAAGAAUCUUCCGCUUUGGCCGAAAGGCUGACGGAGCGACGCCGCGUGCAGGCUGCGCCCUUCGGGGUGUAAACUGC
rnacentral:rRNA from 1 species